rnacentral:rRNA from 1 species
UACAUGCAAGUCGAGCGAAUGGAUUAAGAGCUUGCUCUUAUGAAGUUAGCGGCGGACGGGUGAGUAACACGUGGGUAACCUGCCCAUAAGACUGGGAUAACUCCGGGAAACCGGGGCUAAUACCGGAUAACAUUUUGAACUGCAUGGUUCGAAAUUGAAAGGCGGCUUCGGCUGUCACUUAUGGAUGGACCCGCGUCGCAUUAGCUAGUUGGUGAGGUAACGGCUCACCAAGGCAACGAUGCGUAGCCGACCUGAGAGGGUGAUCGGCCACACUGGGACUGAGACACGGCCCAGACUCCUACGGGAGGCAGCAGUAGGGAAUCUUCCGCAAUGGACGAAAGUCUGACGGAGCAACGCCGCGUGAGUGAUGAAGGCUUUCGGGUCGUAAAACUCUGUUGUUAGGGAAGAACAAGUGCUAGUUGAAUAAGCUGGCACCUUGACGGUACCUAACCAGAAAGCCACGGCUAACUACGUGCCAGCAGCCGCGGUAAUACGUAGGUGGCAAGCGUUAUCCGGAAUUAUUGGGCGUAAAGCGCGCGCAGGUGGUUUCUUAAGUCUGAUGUGAAAGCCCACGGCUCAACCGUGGAGGGUCAUUGGAAACUGGGAGACUUGAGUGCAGAAGAGGAAAGUGGAAUUCCAUGUGUAGCGGUGAAAUGCGUAGAGAUAUGGAGG